CACUUCUAAGGAAGACAGCAGGCGCGCAAAUUACCCAAUCCUGACUCAGGGAGGUAGUGACAAGAAAUAACAAUAAACCGGCUUAUGCCGGUUUAAUUGGAAUGAGUACAAUUUAAACAUCUUAACGAGGAACAAUUGGAGGGCAAGUCUGGUGCCAGCAGCCGCGGUAAUUCCAGCUCCAAUAGCGUAUACUAAAGUUGUUGCAGUUAAAAAGCUCGUAGUUGGAUUUCUGUGGGGACGGAGCGGCCGGCCGCAACACACGGUUCGAGCUAGCGCUUUCCCUACAUCCUGCCGCGAACCGUGCUACCAUUGACUUGGUGGCGCCGGGGAUCGGCUCGAUUACUUUGAGAAAAAUAGAGUGUUCAAAGCAGGCCACAUGCCUUGAAUAAGUUAGCAUGGAAUAAUAACUAAGGACUUCGGUUCUAUUUUGUUGGUGUUCGGGACUGAAGUAAUGAUUGAUAGGGACAGUUGGGGCGGUCUGUAUUCCAAAGCGAGAGGUGAAAUUCUUAGACCUUCGGAAGACAAACAGCUGCGAAAGCGUUCCGCAAGGAUGUUCCCUUUGAUCAAGAACGAAAGUUGGGGGAUCGAAGACGAUCAGAUACCGUCGUAGUCUCAACUAUAAACUAUACCAGCUAGGGAUCGGCCAACGUUAUUUCAUACCGACUUGGUCGGCACCUUAUGAGAAAUCAAAGCAUCUGGGUUCCGGGGGGAGUAUGGUCGCAAGGCUGAAACUUAAAGGAAUUGACGGAAGGGCACCACCAGCCGUGGAGCCUGUGGCUUAAUUUGACUCAACACGGGAAAACUUACCAGGUCCAGACAUAGUAAGGAUUGACAGAUUGAUAGCUCUUUCUUGAUUCUGUGGGUGGUGGUGCAUGGCCGUUCUUAGUUGGUGGAGUGAUUUGCCUGGUUAAUUCCGUUAACGAACGAGACCCCAGCCUGCUAAAUAGCGCGCGUGAGCUUUGCUCGCGGCGAGCUUCUUAGAGGGACUAUGAUGCGCGAUAGCACAUGGAAGUUUGGGGCAAUAACAGGUCUGUGAUGCCCUUAGAUGUUCUGGGCCGCACACGGGCUACACUGGCGCCUGCAACGAGCAUAUCAGCUGGCCCGAGAGGGUCUUGGCUAAUCUUUUGAACCGGCGCCGUGCUUGGGAUUGACCUUUGCAAUUGUUGGUCAUGCAACGAGGAAUGCCUUGUAAACGCGAGUCAUCAGCUCGCAUUGAAUACGUCCCUGCCCUUUGUACACACCGCCCGUCGCUCCUACCGAUGAAUGUUCCGAUGAAAUUUUCGGAGAGCACCUGUGAACUUGGCUCUGCCUUGCGAACGGGAGGCUCAAAGUCACUUAAAUCUGAACAUUUC
rnacentral:rRNA from 1 species